rnacentral:lncRNA from 1 species
GGUAGUAGAGGUACUACAGGAGGUACUACAGGGGGUAGUAGAGGUACUAGAGGAGGUACUAGAGGAGGAAGUAGAGGUACUACAGGAGGUACUAGAGGAGGAAGUAGAGGUACUAGAGGAGGAAGUAGAGGUACUAGAGGAGGAAGUAGAGGUACUAGAGGAGGAAGUAGAGGUACUAGAGGAGGAAGUAGAGGUACUAGAGGAGGAAGUAGAGGUACUAGAGGAGGAAGUAGAGGUACUAGAGAGACUAGAGAAGAAAUAAGAGCUGAGACCAUUUUCUUCUAGUUGACCUAUGAUCACCUGGGUUACACCAAGAAAACCAUGACAAACCAUUUACCAUGGUCAAGAUAAGGUCUGGGUUGGGUUUAAGAUUUUGGUAAGGGACAAUUAGAUAUAUUAUAACAAAAAGGCAGUGGGUCAUCUCCCCUCUUACCUUCUCAUAGUACUGGAUGUUGUGGU